rnacentral:tRNA from 1 species
GAAGAGAUGGCUCAGUGGUUAAGAGCACUGACUGCUCUUCCAGAGGUCCUGAGUUCAAUUCCCAGCAACCACA